rnacentral:rRNA from 1 species
UACGGGGGGAACGAGCGUUGUUCGGAUUUACUGGGCGUAAAGCGCGUGCAGGCGGAUUUUCAAGUCGGAUGUGAAAACCUCGGGCUUAACCCGGGGCCUGCAUCUGAUACUGUUAAUCUUGAGUACGGGAGAGGAAAGUGGAAUUCCAGGUGUAGCGGUGACAUGCGUAGAUAUCUGGAAGAACACCGGUGGCGAAGGCGGCUUUCUGGACCGAUACUGACGCUGAGGCGCGAAAGCCAGGGGAGCAAAC